rnacentral:tRNA from 1 species
UAGCUCAGUGGUAGAGUGCUUGCCUUGCAUGCAUGAGGCAUGGGUUCGAUUCCUAA